ACGGAAGGCAGCAGUGGGGAAUAUUGCACAAUGGGGGAAACCCUGAUGCAGCGACGCCGCGUGAGUGAAGAAGUAUUUCGGUAUGUAAAGCUCUAUCAGCAGGAAAGAAAAUGACGGUACCUGACUAAGAAGCCCCGGCUAACUACGUGCCAGCAGCCGCGGUAAUAAGUAGGGGGCAAGCGUUAUCCGGAUUUACUGGGUGUAAAGGGAGCGUAGACGGCUUUGCAAGUCUGAAGUGAAAGCCCGGGGCUCAACCCCGGAACUGCUUUGGAAACUGUAGAGCUAGAGUGCAGGAGAGGUAAGUGGAAUUCCUAGUGUAGCGGUGAAAUGCGUAGAUAUUAGGAGGAACACCAGUGGCGAAGGCGGCUUACUGGACUGUAACUGACGUUGAGGCUCGAAGGCGUGGGGAGCAAACAGGAUUAGAUACCCUGGUA
rnacentral:rRNA from 1 species